GCAUAUCAAUAAGCGGAGGAAAAGAAACCAACAGGGAUUGCCCUAGUAACGGCGAGUGAAGCGGCAACAGCUCAAAUUUGAAAUCUGGCCUCGGCCCGAGUUGUAAUUUGCAGAGGAAGCUUUAGGCGCGGCACCUUCUGAGUCCCCUGGAACGGGGCGCCAUAGAGGGUGAGAGCCCCGUAUAGUUGGAUGCCUAGCCUGUGUAAAGCUCCUUCGACGAGUCGAGUAGUUUGGGAAUGCUGCUCAAAAUGGGAGGUAAAUUUCUUCUAAAGCUAAAUACCGGCCAGAGACCGAUAGCGCACAAGUAGAGUGAUCGAAAGAUGAAAAGCACUUUGAAAAGAGGGUUAAAAAGCACGUGAAAUUGUUGAAAGGGAAGCGCUUGUGACCAGACUUGCGCCGGGCUGAUCAUCCGGUGUUCUCACCGGUGCACUCGGCCCGGCACAGGCCAGCAUCGGUUCUCGCGGGGGGAUAAAGGUCCCGGGAACGUAGCUCCUCCGGGAGUGUUAUAGCCCGGGGCGUAAUGCCCUCGCGGGGACCGAGGUUCGCGCAUCUGCAAGGAUGCUGGCGUAAUGGUCAUCAGCGACCCGUCUUGAAACACGGACC
rnacentral:rRNA from 1 species